rnacentral:piRNA from 1 species
UAACCCGGCUGGAUCCACAUG